rnacentral:rRNA from 1 species
GACGAACGCUGGCGGCGUGCCUAAUACAUGCAAGUAGAACGCAGUUGCGAACGGGUGAGUAACGCGUAGGGAACUGCCUCAUAGCGGGGGAUAACUAUUGGGAACGAUAGCUAAAACCCCAUACUGUGAGAUGGACCUGCGUGGGAUUAGGUUGUGGGUGAGGUAAAGGCCCACCAAGGCGACGAUACAGAGCCGGGCGUGGAGGGUGAUCCGCCACAAUGGGAACGAGACAAGGGCCCGACUCCCAAGGGAGGCAGCAGUAGGGAAUUUUCGGCAAUGGACGGAAGUCUGACCGAGCAACGCCGGGUGAGUGAAGAAGGUUUUCGGAUCGUAAAGCUAUGUUGUGAGAGAAGCGGUACCUAACCAGAAAGGGACGGCUAACUACGUGCCAGCAGCCGCGGUAAUAC